AAACUUUGACUUUACUGACUGAAAGUUUUCCGUUAUUAUUAUGAAAGUUUUCUGUGUCGUUAUAGUCGGAUUUUAACAACCGGAAAGCGUCUGAAAAGGCCUUGACUCGUUUAUUUAGCGCAAGGACGUUACAUUACGCUUCGGUUGUAGCCUAAACUUUUGGAGGGAAAGCGAGAGAAAGUCAGCGUUUGCCAAAGACGCUUUUGAGGACUGAAGAGUAUUUCAAACAAACUUGGCGCCGACGAGAAAUCAGCUGAGCAGGUUUUCAUCAAUGGAAAGAGUCGGAUGUUAAGUUUGGCCUCCAAAACGCCGCCCACACACCUGACAGACCCUACAACAUGAAACCUGUAUCCUGAAACCUGUACCUGCACCUGUCUGCCACCUGCACCCUUUUCUGGUUACCUGUGGACUCUCAGGCACUUCUGUCUGGGCCUGCUGCGCAUGGCGGUGAUGGAUAAAGGCCAGAGACCGUCUGAUGCUUUCAGACCACCUGAAAAUUCACUUUGUGUUUUAGACUCCAACUGCUUAACACUCACACCUGGCAGAUGCCCAUUGUGACCACCUCGACCUUCCACUGUUGGCUAUUUUACUACCAAACGGCUCAAAUCUACAACUCAUAACCUCCCAGACUGAUAUUUUAUCUGCCUGCGAAAAGCCUGCAGUCUGGAUGGGGAACACAAUACGACGGCUGCUGGGAGAAAGUCUCUCCGCUAUGUUGCUACGCCCUCUCGCACUGACAGAGGGAGAGGGACACAUCAAUCUUUCACUAAUUCCUUCAAGUGUGAAAGGGUCCUUGUGGUGUCAGCCAAAGGGAGAAGAUGGUCCUGGCCAGAGGUAUUGAAUGAGGGGACGUGCAGAAAGGAGGAUGGGAGGACAGGGGCCUCCCCACCACAGAGACCCAUCCUUCUGGGUCCCCCACCUCAACCUUGCGGCCGACGCCCCCGGACGGCCGACCAGAUGGCGGCAGCAUUAGCCCAACAAAGGCUAUCUAAUUAGGGGCACAAUAGAGAGAAAGGAGGGGCGCCGGUGUCCUGAUGGACGGCACGCAAGACGGAGAACAGCCAGGGAGGCCGCCUGAGACCAAAGCAAGUCAAUAGCGUACCUACAACCCCCAUCCCAACACACACACACACACACUCUGAGCGCACACUCUCUGACGCCCCCCUGGCAGUAAUAUAGGGGGCUAUGACUUUAUUACCCCUCAUUAACACAAAUUAGACCACUUGAGCCUCCCUGAAUGGCGAUGACAAAUUGAAUUAAGUGUUUGGAAACAAGUCAAUCCCCACCCCUGGCCAGGCUGCGGCCAUAUUGCAUUAACAUUCAUUGAAGGGUGUGUGUGUGCGUGUGUGUGUGUGUGUGUGUGUGUGUGAGUGAGAGGGGCUAUAAAAAACUGAGCUAUUAUUUAAAGGUAGGAGGAGUUUUUCGAGGCUGUGAAUGGUUAAAUUCCUUUGGAAAUGUUAUGGAUCCUCCUGCUGUGGCGAGUAAAAUCUGGCGAGUUAAAGGAGGAACAAAACACAGGAGAGAACAGUCAGUUUGGACUCAAGUCAGUGAGGAUUUCACAUAUUUUUUUAUUUUUUAUUAAUACGACAAGUCAGAGAAAAGUUUACAGCUUUAGAAACAAUAAUCCAGGCACUAAUGUGGACUAUGACAUGAAUAUAUUUUUAAAAAGUUUACUGCAUCUGUUAA